ACGGCAGGUCACGUGCGCAGAAGGGGCGGAGAGUUGGAAGCGCGCAGAGGGAAGAAACGGCGAGAGGAGCAACCGGACGGCCUGCAACGUGGAUCCGCCGCCAUCCGAAGCGGAGAAGCGCUGAAGGACGCCGGGCUCGGUGAACCCAAGCGGGGACCCCUUGACUUCACCAAACACCAUUGGGACCCAAAUUUCUGACACAGCCCCUCGGUCGCUAAGGGAGUUGCACCCAAUUUUUGCCGUGGAUGUUAAGCGAAUUGGCUUGGGUGUACAGCAAAUCCGGCUUCCACUAUUGAUGAUGGCUAUGGGAAGGUCACAAAAUGGAGAUUGCGGAACACCACAACUGUUACCAUUUGGCCCGGGGACGCCGUAUGAUGGUCGUACAUGCGAGGACUCCUCGUAGCCCGCUCAUUUCGAUGCCGUCUUAACUUCCAGUGGUCGCUAAAUUAAUGAGAAUCUAUCUCUCCUCACCGUGGUCCUUGUCCCAUUGAAGGUCCUUUUGGGAUGUGUGGGAUACCAAUUACCAUCAUCCCCAGUCCUUGUUCAGUGACCACUUUCGCACAACCUCGGAGGGCGGAUGUGAGUUUGUUCGGGUUGUGUCUCACAACCCCAAAUGAAGACGCCUUUCUCUGAAGUUGCUUCCUUCACUUGAGAUGUUUUGUUCACAAGCCAGCUUUGAAGAUCCGGCUCUGGUCUCUACCAGCUCGGCUAGGGGCUUUACUGCCCAUCAUCCACGCCCACGCCUCUCGCCCUGAAGAGGAAGCGGCCCAGCAGCCGGCCUCUGUUCUAAAUGGAGACCGCCGAAAGAGAGGAAGUUUGCGGUCAACCGACGAUGGAAGGUUUCUUGGAAAAAAGGAUGACGAAGACCAUGCUUCUCUUCCGCCCCCUGGAGAUGGGGCACGAUGGGAUUUUGCGCUGCUUCCAAUGGGGGCGUGUGUUAGGAGGAGAUCAAAGUCAUCAGAAGUCUCAGAAAUGAGUAAAUUGACAUUUGAAAUUAGAGAACAGGAAAAUAAGCAAUAUUAUAAGAUGGGAUUUGUUUUAUUGAUGGUUAAAAGGAAGGAAAGAUCUGAGAAAGGUUAUUAUUAAGCGAAAUAUUGAAUUGAUUUAGAAUGAUGGAAUGAAUAAUGCUAUCAGAUAAAAUACUAUUUUGUGGACAUGUAUAUGGAAUGAGAGGAUGAAAGAUUAUAGCCAUUGGUUAACUAAAGGGUUAGAUAUUAGAUGGAGGUAAUGUAAUACUAGAUGAAUCAAGUCUGUCUGUGCCCCUCCCUCCCGGAUGACAGAAUAUAGUUGGAAGGGACCUGGGAGGUCAUGUAGUCCAACCUGAGUCCUUCGGGAGAAGGGCGGUAUAAAAAUCGAAUAAAUAAUAAUAAUAACCAAGCAGGAGACCAUUUUUAGGCUGGUCCUGAGUGAAGAGAGGAAGGAAGGGCCUCUUCCAAAAUUUGGGGCUGUCUCUUGGGGGGUUGUGUGUCGGGGAGAGGGGAUUUCUCCCCAACUUCUGCCAACAGAAAAAGACUUCUGUAUCCUUAAAAGAACAUUUUCUGAAGAAUAAAUGACUCCCCACCUCA